GUUAGAAUAACGGGGAUACCAGCAUUUACAUCAUAGCGGGAUAGACGGUUUCAAAUGUAUUUUAGUAAAGAACUUACAGCCUCAUGUCAUAGAGGCUCUGGAAGUGCCAAGUAUUUGGUGAGAAUGACAAACCUGCAUAGACCAAAAAGGUGAUGAGUGCAGCCAGCAGGUGGAUACGAAGCUUGGUUCGGACUUCCUGGAAGUGCAGCAGAGCGCUGUGGAAGAGAAAGGAGCAGACGGCCUCUGUGAUGACCGCUUUGAGCAAGUCGACUUGGAUGGGAUUCUUGCAAGCGAAGCUCCUCUCGCUGACGUGAUACUGGGUCAGACCCAAGCUCCACAAGGCGCUUGUGCAGUACCUGCUGCACAGGGCACUAACCAGCUGAGCCAAUAGCCUCACCGCACCCGUCUCGGGGGACAUGCCCCCUAGCAUCAUCUGCAUCAUCACGCCGCACGGGUUGCUGGACGUGCCCACCAGAGUCAGGCCAUGCACAAGCGAGAAGAAGUAGACGAGCGUCAGCGUCCAGGAAGUCAUGAGACAUCAAUCAAUAUAUGUAAGAAGAACGUUGAUUCAG
rnacentral:lncRNA from 1 species